AGAGUUUGAUCAUGGCUCAGAUUGAACGCUGGCGGCAUGCCUUACACAUGCAAGUCGAACGGCAGCACGGGAGCAAUCCUGGUGGCGAGUGGCGAACGGGUGAGUAAUACAUCGGAACGUGCCCAAUCGUGGGGGAUAACGCAGCGAAAGCUGUGCUAAUACCGCAUACGAUCUACGGAUGAAAGCAGGGGACCGCAAGGCCUUGCGCGAAUGGAGCGGCCGAUGGCAGAUUAGGUAGUUGGUGAGGUAAAGGCUCACCAAGCCUUCGAUCUGUAGCUGGUCUGAGAGGACGACCAGCCACACUGGGACUGAGACACGGCCCAGACUCCUACGGGAGGCAGCAGUGGGGAAUUUUGGACAAUGGGCGCAAGCCUGAUCCAGCCAUGCCGCGUGCAGGAUGAAGGCCUUCGGGUUGUAAACUGCUUUUGUACGGAACGAAAAGGUUCUUUCUAAUAAAGAGAGCUCAUGACGGUACCGUAAGAAUAAGCACCGGCUAACUACGUGCCAGCAGCCGCGGUAAUACGUAGGGUGCAAGCGUUAAUCGGAAUUACUGGGCGUAAAGCGUGCGCAGGCGGUUAUGUAAGACAGUUGUGAAAUCCCCGGGCUCAACCUGGGAACUGCAUCUGUGACUGCAUAGCUAGAGUACGGUAGAGGGGGAUGGAAUUCCGCGUAGCAGUGAAAUGCGUAGAUAUGCGGAGGAACACCGAUGGCGAAGGCAAUCCCCUGGACCUGUACUGACGCUCAUGCACGAAAGCGUGGGGAGCAAACAGGAUUAGAUACCCUAGUAGUCC
rnacentral:rRNA from 1 species